CCCGGCGACCGGCGCACGGGUGAGUAACGCGUAUGCAACCUGCCCGUUUCAGCGGGAUAACCCGGAGAAAUCCGGCCUAAUACCGCAUGUGGCCGAGGGGAGGCAUCUUCUUUCGGCCAAAGGAGGCGACUCCGGAGACGGAUGGGCAUGCGUGACAUUAGCUUGUUGGCGGGGUAACGGCCCACCAAGGCGACGAUGUCUAGGGGUUCUGAGAGGAAGGUCCCCCACACUGGUACUGAGACACGGACCAGACUCCUACGGAAGGCAGCAG
rnacentral:rRNA from 1 species